GACGAACGCUGGCGGCGUGCUUAACACAUGCAAGUCGAACGGUGAAGCGCCUUCCUUUUUGGUGGGUGUGGAUGAGUGGCGAACGGGUGAGUAACACGUGAGUAACCUGCCCCCUUCUUCUGGAUAACCGCAUGAAAGUGUGGCUAAUACGGGAUAUUCUGGGUCUGUCGCAUGGUGGGUCUGGGAAAGAUAUUGUUUCGGUGGGGGAUGGGCUCGCGGCCUAUCAGCUUGUUGGUGGGGUGAUGGCCUACCAAGGCGGUGACGGGUAGCCGGCCUGAGAGGGUGGACGGUCACACUGGGACUGAGACACGGCCCAGACUCCUACGGGAGGCAGCAGUGGGGAAUACUGCACAAUGGGCGCAAGCCUGAUGCAGCGACGCCGCGUGAGGGAUGGAGGCCUUCGGGUUGUGAACCUCUUUCGCCAGUGAAGCAGGCCUGCCUCGUUUGUGGGUGGGUUGACGGUAGCUGGAUAAGAAGCGCCGGCUAACUACGUG
rnacentral:rRNA from 1 species